ACCUGGUGGAAUCUCCCCUGUCCGUCCCUCCUCAACGGCCUCCUCUUCCUCCAGAAGCCUGGGCCCUGGAGUUGGAGAGGGCUCUCUCAAAGCAGACUGACAGAUUCCUCCACCAGGUGCAGACAUUUGAAGAGCUCCUGAGGAGAGGGAAACUCAAACCGUUUGAGCAGAUGGAGGGAGUUGGAGGGCCGUAUAUUCCAGUGUGGGAUGCGCUUGGAGGAGCUCAAAGAGCAGCUGGAGCAGACUGAACAGGACUGACCCACCUCAGAGGCCCCUCCCACUCUACCGCCUUACCCCACCUCCUACUCCAUGCCAGCAGGGGGCAGCAAGCACAUGCCACUCCCUGAGUUACCAGUUUCAGGGAGGUGCCCAGACUGCUAGACCUGGAUCUGACAGAGGGAGACCAUGACUCUCCUGAUGCAGGAGAAGAAGCCACACAUGCAGGCGGUGAGGGGACAAGAGAGGGACCACACCCAGGGACCAGGAGGGAGGAGGGAGGAGGGCCACACAAGUCUCCCUCAGAGACAGCCAAUGCUAGGUCAGAAGGACGCUACAUUCAUCCCAAUGGCAAGACCAAGGACCAGCAAAUCAGUUCUUUGUUCCCCUAAGGACCUCAGCCAAUCCACUGCAUUUCAUGGCUCGCCUGCCAAUGACAGCAAGAGGUCAGAGGUCAGGAAGUCUUGUGGCAGCAGCCUCACCAGUCUGGGGGAGAGUACUGCGUCAGAGAGGAGGGGCUCCAAACUGCAGCCUGGGACCAGGAGAGUGUCAUCUCAGGUCAAUUACUUGAGAGACUGUAUCAAGCUUCCAUUACAUUUUUGACUGCUUAUUCACCUAUCUGGUGUCUGCUGUGAAAGACACAGUCAUGACUGAAAACACAAUGUAAUUGCAUCUAACUUGUUUCCAAAACAUGUUCAACCAACAAAGAAAUAUCUGAAUUUUUACUUUUUAAUAAUUUAACUGACACUCUUAUCCAUAGCUAGGUGGGACAACCACAUAUCAUAGGCAUAGUAAGUACAUUUUUCCUCAAUAAAGUAGCUAUCAGCAAAGUCAGAGCUAGUAAGUGGGGGAAAAGUGUAUAGGUCUAUGCAUAUGAAUAAUAAUGUUGAAUAAUAAGAAUGUUGUUCAUUUAUCUUGACAAUUCAGCAAUAUCUUCUAAACCAGCAAGAGUAACUUGUCUCUCAAACCCUCUGUGUGGAAUAGGACAGGAUCAUCUCACCAGAGAUGUGGGCUCUGAGAGCAGUCACCUGACUCCUGCAGCACCCAGUCCCUUCCACCAGAUGGCCACAGUGAGGUGAGCUACUCUCCUACUCCUUCCCUCUCUCCAGUCAGUGACUUGGCUGUAAUUCUCACGGAACCUCACAUCACAUUCCUCACACUCUCUCUCUCACACACACACACAGCUCUGUACCUUGCCCUUACAUUGUCCCUAGUUGCCUAUCUAAACUCCUUCCCUGUUUUGUUCCUAAUUAUAGUUGCCUAAAUCAAAUCAAAUUGUAUUUGUCACGUGUGGCGAAUACAACAGGUGUAGUAGACCUUACAGUGAAAUGCGUACUUACAUGCCCUUAACCAACAAUGCCGUUUUAAGAAAAAUAAGUGUUAAGAAAGUAUUUACUUUCUAUGGAGGAACUUUGAACGUCUUUGAACUUCAGAGUUGGUUUAACGUUGGACCGUAGCUCAGAUGAGCAGUAGAAUUAAAAACAUGUCUUACCUUUUUGUAGCUCAUAAAUCCAAUGAUAACGUGAUAACUAUGGUAUCCUUAACUAGCAUUGAAAAAAGUUAAUACAUUCUUUUAAACAUCUCUCCCUAAUUUUUGAAUCAUGCUUGUAACGUUGUCAGGAGGCUACAGUAAUCUAUGUAACGUUGUCAGGAGGCUACAGUAACCUAUGUAACGUUGUCAGGAGGCUACAGUAACCUAUGUAACGUUGUCAGGAGGCUACAGUAACCUAUGUAACGUUGUCAGGAGGCUACAGUAGCCUAUGUAACGUUGUCAGGAGGCUACAGUAAUCUAUGUAACGUUGUCAGGAGGCUACAGUAACCUAUGUAACGUUGUCAGGAGGCUACAGUAACCUAUGUAACGUUGUCAGGAGGCUACAGUAAGCUACGUAACGUUGUCAGGAGGCUACAGUAACCUAUGUAACGUUGUCA